rnacentral:rRNA from 1 species
GACGAACCGAGCGAACGUUGUUCGGAAUCACUGGGCUUAAAGGGCGCGUAGGCGGGUGCUCAAGUCCGUGGUGAAAUCCUCCGGCUCAACCGGAGAACUGCCUCGGAUACUGGGCGUCUCGAGUGUGGUAGGGGUAUGCGGAACUAUCGGUGGAGCGGUGAAAUGCGUUGAUAUCGAUAGGAACUCCGGUGGCGAAGGCGGCAUACUGGACCGCCACUGACGCUGAGGAGCGAAAGCGUGGGGAGCGAACAGG